CGCCUGCCCUGUGACUAUAAGUUUAACGGCCGCGGUAUUUUAACCGUGCGAAGGUAGCGUAAUCACUUGUCUUUUAAAUGAAGACCUGUAUGAAUGGCAUCACGAGGGCUUAGCUGUCUCCCCCCUCCAGUCAAUGAAAUUGAUCUCCCCGUGCAGAAGCGGGGAUAAUUACAUAAGACGAGAAGACCCUGUGGAGCUUUAGACCUAAAAUAAUUCACGUUUUAACACUCUGUCACAACCAGUAAAAACUUAGUGCUACUUAUUGAGGUGUCUUUGGUUGGGGCGACCGCGGGGAAAAACACAACCCCCAUGUGGACCGGGGAUACUAUCCCUAAUACUCAGAGCCUUCUACUCCAAGUAACAGAAAUUCUGACUUUUCUGAUC
rnacentral:rRNA from 1 species